UACGAAGGGGGCUAGCGUUGCUCGGAAUCACUGGGCGUAAAGGGCGCGUAGGCGGCCAUUCAAGUCGGAGGUGAAAGCCCAGGGCUCAACCCUGGAAUUGCCCUCGAUACUGUUUGGCUAGAGACCGGAAGAGGUAGGUGGAACUGCGAGUGUAGAGGUGAAAUUCGUAGAUAUUCGCAAGAACACCAGUGGCGAAGGCGGCUUACUGGUCCGGUUCUGACGCUGAGGCGCGAAAGCGUGGGUAGCAAACAGG
rnacentral:rRNA from 1 species